AUGAAGGAAGUUGCAGAGAUCAGAGAAACCAGAGCAUCCGAUUUUGGAUCUUUUCGAAUUCCAAGUCCUGGAUCUGAUGACGAUUCGACGGUGACGUUCGAAUCGGAGCUCAACGCCGGCGGUUGUCUUUGCGGUCCGGUCCGGCGGCUAUCCAAUUCAUCAGUGGCGGUCGACUCGGAUAUUCUAGGGUUUCUCGAAGAGAUCUGUUAAGUUGCUGAGGAUGUCAUGGAUGGCCCAGAAUACUGAUAUACUGGAUACUCUGAAACAUUGUGGCCAGAUCACUUGUCAGCUUGGCAUGGAUGGUUGGCCAGCCCUCUACAUUCAUGGAGGCAAAAGCAAGCCGGAAAGGAAUUGUUCCUGACAAAGAAGGCAUGGAUGGUUGGCCAGCCCUCUACAUUCAUGGUGGCAAAAGCAAGCCAGAAAGGAAUUGUUCCUGACAAAGAAGGCUUGUGGGAUGUUGAUGACGAUCGAAUUGUGGACAAAGGUAAAAGAAGAGUAGAUGUCAAUGUGAAAUUUUUUUUUUUUUUUUUUUGUCUUCCACCUUAUCAACUGAAGUUGUGAUUGUAAGGCCAAAGUUUGUCGCUGCAAAAUGAUGACUUUAAAAUC